UUUUUUUUUUUUUUUAUUUUAAAUUUAAUAAGCAGUUAACAGGUAACUUAUUUCAGGUGUGCUGAGGACAUAGCUGUGUCACACUGCAACAAAUCAGCUGCCUUGUGCAGUCUUGGUAAAUGGAGAGAAGCAAAGCUUUCAGCCUCUGAGCGCUUAUGCGGAGAUCCAGAACACAUCCAGUGUUUGACCCCACUAUUGUACAGCCAGCUGGGAAAGUGUGGAUGAAGAAGAGCUAUAAAGAGCCCUUUCCAACAGCCCUGUUCCAGGAACCCUCCCACUCAGACUUGCUGGAUGUGAUCUCUGGUGGUUACGAAACUAGUUCCAAGAAUAUCAAUUGCAAAUGAAUGCCAGUCUCCAAAUUCACAGGAUUGUGGUUGCUUGUUUCUAUUUUAUUUUUAUUUUUACUUUUCAUUAUACUGUAUUUAUCAAGGCAAGGUUUUUUUCACCCUAGAGUGCAAUCACACUCCCACUUU
ensembl:lncRNA